rnacentral:rRNA from 1 species
GAUCCUGGCUCAGGAUGAACGCUGGCGGCGCGCCUAACACAUGCAAGUCGAACGGCACCUAUCUUCGGAUAGAAGCGAGUGGCGAACGGCUGAGUAACACGUGGAGAACCUGCCCCCCUCCCCCGGGAUAGCCGCCCGAAAGGACGGGUAAUACCGGAUACCCCGGGGUGCCGCAUGGCACCCCGGCUAAAGCCCCGACGGGAGGGGAUGGCUCCGCGGCCCAUCAGGUAGACGGCGGGGUGACGGCCCACCGUGCCGACAACGGGUAGCCGGGUUG